AAUUUUGGACAAUGGGGGAAACCCUGAUCCAGCCAUCCCGCGUGUAUGAUGAAGGCCUUCGGGUUUUAAAGUACUUUUGGCUGAGAAGAAAAGGUAUCCCCUAAUACGGGAUACUCCUGACGGUAUCUUCAGAAUAAGCACCGGCUAACUCCGUGCCAGCAGCCGCGGUAAUACGUAGGGUGCAAGCGUUAACCGGAAUCACUUGGCGUAAAGCGGAUGUAGGCGGUUCGGAAAGAAAGAUGAGAAAUCCCAGGGCUCAACCUUGGAACUGCAUUUUUAACUGCAGAGCUAGAGUAUGUCAGAGGGGGGUAGAAUUCCAAGUGUAGCAGUGAAAUGCGUAGAUAUGUGGAGGAAUACAGAUGGCGAAGGCAGCCCCCUGGGAUAAUACUGACGCUCAGACACGAAAGCGUGGGGAGCAAACAGG
rnacentral:rRNA from 1 species